rnacentral:rRNA from 1 species
UGGGGAAUAUUGCACAAUGGGGGAAACCCUGAUGCAGCAACGCCGCGUGAGUGAAGAAGUAUUUCGGUAUGUAAAGCUCUAUCAGCAGGGAAGAAAAUGACGGUACCUGACUAAGAAGCCCCGGCUAACUACGUGCCAGCAGCCGCGGUAAUACGUAGGGGGCAAGCGUUAUCCGGAUUUACUGGGUGUAAAGGGAGCGCAGGCGGUCUGGCAAGUCUGAUGUGAAAUCCCGGGGCUCAACCCUGGAACUGCAUUGGAAACUGUCAGACUAGAGUGCCGGAGAGGUAAGUGGAAUUCCUAGUGUAGCGGUGAAAUGCGUAGAUAUUAGGAAGAACACCAGUGGCGAAGGCGGCUUACUGGACGGUAACUGACGCUGAGGCUCGAAAGCGUGGGGAGCAAACAGGAUUAGAUACCCUGGUAGU